AUACUCGCUGGACCAAGACAAUCUAAUAUAUACUCAGUACAAAGCCAAGUGUGACCAACUGCUUCUCCCAGACACCAGGCAAAUAUUCAAUGGCCCAAGACAAUGUAAUAUGACCUCGAUAUAAAGCCAAGUGUGAGCAGCUGCUCCUCCCAAACAGCAGUCAGGUCGGGCCGGGCUGUAUAAAAAAGGAAGGGCAGGCAGCUCGGCUCUCAUUCAGCAGCGAUUGGAGUGAAGAAGCGUGAUGUCUGGAAGAGGUAAAGGAGGUAAAGGCCUGGGAAAAGGCGGAGCGAAGCGGCACCGUAAAGUGCUCCGUGAUAACAUCCAGGGCAUCACGAAACCAGCCAUCCGGCGCCUGGCUCGCCGUGGCGGGGUCAAGCGCAUCUCGGGCUUGAUCUACGAGGAGACCCGCGGGGUGCUGAAGGUUUUCCUGGAGAAUGUGAUCAGGGAUGCGGUCACCUACACUGAGCACGCCAAGCGCAAGACGGUCACCGCCAUGGAUGUGGUGUACGCUCUGAAACGCCAGGGCCGCACUCUCUAUGGAUUCGGCGGCUGAGCAUCAAGCGACCCUUUUCCAGCGAACCCAAAGGCUCUUUUCAGAGCCAUCCCAAAUCUUCCCAUUGAGAGCGGAGACCUGAGGCCGGAGAGGGCACAGAGGGAGCGGAUGGUGUUCUGUACCAGAUUUCUGCUUCAUCCGCCAAACCGGAGAGGGCUCGGGCUGGAGGGCGGAACCUCCCGGCACCACAUCAUCAACCGCUUUCUUUCCAAUUUGAAAAGCCCGCCAAUUUAAAGAAAGGAAAAUGUUUUCGAUUGAAAGAUCAGGUACAAAAUAUUGAGGAAGUUUCACAAAGAAUAAUUCCUAGUCCUCAUAUGUUAAUUUCCCAUUAAGAAUACCAAUGUAUACUUUACACGAUCUCUGUCUCCCUCAUUUGCCCACCCACAUCUAUCCUUUUCUGAUCUUGACAGUGGGUUAUUGAAGCUGAAACUAAACCGGCCAAACACUGCAGUCUGCAACUUGUCUUUUCACUUCACAUUUCAAUAGCACCCACGACAUGCUGAUAAAACAGCACACAACGUUCUUCCGGCUCAGCGUACCAACUGGAAACACCGUUUUUAGACUAUGUUUGAAAGUCUUCCUCUCUUCUUGCUGGAGAUUAGAUCCAACAAAAGCACCACAAUUCCCAUUUCAGUCCGGCACCUGUUUUGGUGUUAUCUCGGUUCACUUUGAAAGCCUCUCACUGACAGCUGGAGGAAGGGCUUUUAUUGCAAUCCUGAAAAAUUCCAUUCACCCCGCGCAUUGGAAAUGAAAAUAAAAUGCAGAUGUUAAAAGGCAUCUGUCCGUGGGACUGAAGAAUGUGGGCGCUUAUGUUUUGCUUUCAAUGAGUGAAAUUAAAUGUGAACAAUCCACCUCGGCGUUUUAGUAACUUGAACAAAUAAAUGAGAACUGACUCUGGGGUUUAAUCUGCUGUCUCUCUACAGACAAGGGAGAGGUUGUUUAUGAAGGCCUCACCCCGUCCAUCCAACACCCCGCC